AGCGAACGCUGGCGGUAUGCUUAACACAUGCAAGUCGAGCGCGAAAGUGGACUUCGGUCAUGAGUAGAGCGGCGGACGGGUGAGUAACACAUGGAUAAUCUGCCUUUAGGACUGGGAUAACUCUGGGAAACUAGGGCUAAUACCGGAUAAGACCACAGGUUCCAUGGAACCAGGGGUAAAAGGCGGCCUUCGGGCUGUCGCCGAAAGAUGAGUCCGCGUCCCAUCAGGUAGUUGGUGAGGUAACGGCUCACCAAGCCGAAGACGGGUAGCCGACCUUAGCGGGUGAUUGGCCACACGGGGACUGAGACACGGCCCCGACUCCUACGGGAGGCAGCAGUGGGGAAUUUUGGGCAAUGGGCGCAAGCCUGACCCAGCAAUACCGCGUGAGGGAUGAAGGCCUUCGGGUUGUAAACCUUUUUCAGCCCUGACGAAGCCCUGUGGGGUGACGGUAGGGGUAGAAGAAGCACCGGCCAACUACGUGCCAGCAGCCGCGGUAAUACGUAGGGUGCCAGCGUUGUCCGGAAUUAUUGGGCGUAAAGAGCUUGUAGGCGGUCUGUCGCGUUGGCUGUGAAAUCCCGGGGCUCAACUCCGGGCUUGCAGUCGAUACGGGCAGGCUGGAGUUUGGCAGGGGAGACUGGAAUUCCUGGUGUAGCGGUGAAAUGCGCAGAUAUCAGGAGGAACCCCGGUGGCGAAGGCGGGUUUUUGGGCCGAUACUGACGCUGAGGAGCGAAAGCGUGGGGAGCGAACAGGAUUAGAUACCCUGGUAGUCCCCGCCGUAAACGUUGGGCGCUAGGUGUGGGAUCCCUUCCACCGGUUCCGUGCCGCAGCUAACGCAUUAAGCGCCCCGCCUGGGGAGUACGGCCGCAAGGCUAAAACUCAAAUGAAUUGACGGGG
rnacentral:rRNA from 1 species